GCCACAGGAGCAAUCCUUAGCUAUGAUAUUCGCUGGUUCUCUACUAUCAAUACAGUUGCAGCCAUGUACUGCCAUCUUUGAAGGGCUUUGUGCAAGGCAGUCUGAGAAUAAAAAGAAAAAGAACAGUGUUUACUGGGGAGGGGAUGGAAAAGGUUAGAAAACAUUAACCAGAGAUCACAUCUGUUUGCCUGACAAUACCCUGGUUGCAUUUACCUCUUUUAUAUGGACCUAUUGGAUCUGGAAGAAGAUUGUUACAGUCACAGUGGGGACUUUAACCACCUCUGCAUUUAUUCUGAUUUGUUUCCCAACUUGUAACGUGAUACUCUUUGCAAUAUAAUGUCAUUUAUCCAUUCCACCUACCUAUUCUACAGUGCCAUACAAAUCCUGUAACUAUAAGAAUAAAUCCCCAAAGAAACAGGUAUAAUUUUAAAUG
rnacentral:lncRNA from 1 species